AGCUUUGCGCAGUGGCAGUAUUGUAGCCAAUGAGGUUUAUCCGAGGCGCGAUUAUUGCUAAUUGAAAAUUUUCAGAAAAUCUGCUUAUGGCACAAUCUGCCUCAAAUCCAUUUCAAGUUGUGUAUUUGUUUUCCAGGAAA
rnacentral:snRNA from 1 species